rnacentral:rRNA from 1 species
UACGUAGGGCGCAAGCGUUAUCCGGAAUUAUUGGGCGUAAAGAGCUCGUAGGCGGUUUGUCGCGUCUGCCGUGAAAGUCCGGGGCUCAACUCCGGAUCUGCGGUGGGUACGGGCAGACUAGAGUGAUGUAGGGGAGACUGGAAUUCCUGGUGUAGCGGUGAAAUGCGCAGAUAUCAGGAGGAACACCGGUGGCGAAGGCGGAUCUCUGGGCCUGUUCUGACGCUGAGGCGCGAAAGCUAGGGGAGCGAACAGG